rnacentral:misc_RNA from 1 species
GAUGAAGAACGUAGCGAAAUGCGAUAAGUAAUGUGAAUUGCAGAAUUCAGUGAAUCAUCGAAUCUUUGAACGCACACUGCGCCCGCCAGCAUUCUGGCGGGCAUGCCUGUUCGAGCGUCAUUUCAACCCUCGAGCCCCCCCGGGGGCCUCGGUGUUGGGGGACGGCACACCAGCCGCCCCCGAAAUGCAGUGGCGACCCCGCCGCAGCCUCCCCUGCGUAGUAGCACACACCUCGCACCGGAGCGCGGAGGCGGUCACGCCGUAAAACGCCCAACUUUCUUAGAGUUGACCUCGGAUCAGGUAGGAAUACCCGUUGAACUUAAGCAUAUCAAUAAGCGGAGGA